rnacentral:rRNA from 1 species
UACGAAGGGGGCUAGCGUUGCUCGGAAUCACUGGGCGUAAAGCGCACGUAGGCGGAUUCUUAAGUCGGUGGUGAAAUCCUGGAGCUCAACUCCAGAACUGCCUUCGAAACUGGGAGUCUAGAGUUCGGAAGAGGUGAGUGGAACUGCGAGUGUAGAGGUGAAAUUCGUAGAUAUUCGCAAGAACACCAGUGGCGAAGGCGGCUCACUGGUCCGAUACUGACGCUGAGGUGCGAAAGCGUGGGGAGCAAACAGG